AGGCCUUACUGGAAAUUGUUAGUUUUGAAAACUAACUAAGAGCGUUCGAUUCGUUCGCAGGCCUGC
rnacentral:tRNA from 1 species